rnacentral:rRNA from 1 species
GUCGAAUGGGAUACCUAAACAUUCCAUGGCAGACUGCUCAGUAACACAUGAUCAACUUACCCUAUGGAGAGAAAUAACCUCGGGAAACUGAGGAUAAUAUCUCAUAGUUGAAAAGGCUUGGAAAAGUUUUUCAAUUAAAGGGAUAAGAAAAAUGGUUCUUAUUUGCCAUAGGAUAGGAUCAUGGUCGAUUAUGGUAGUUGGCGAGGUAAUGGCUCACCAAGCUGAUAAUCGAUAGGGGCCGUGAGAGCGGGAGCCCCGAGAUGGGUACUGAGACAACGACCCAGGCCUUACGAGGCGCAGCAGGCGCUAAACCUCCGCAAUACACGAAAGUGUGACGGGGUUACCCAAAGUGUCCAUCUUUGGACUGUGGUAGGUGAGUAAUGUCCCCUACUAGAAAGGAGAGGGCAAGGCUGGUGCCAGCCGCCGCGGUAAAACCAGCUCUUCAAGUGGUCGGGAUAAUUAUUGGCUUAAAGUGUCCGUAGCCGGAUUAGUAAGUUCCUGGUAAAAUCGGGUAGCUUAACUAUCUGUAUGCUAGGAAUACUGCUAUUCU